rnacentral:rRNA from 1 species
CGAAAGCCUGACGGAGCAAGACCGCGUGGGGGAGGAAGGCUCUAGGGUUGUAAACCCCUUUUCUUUGGGAAGAACAAAAUGACGGUACCAAAGGAAUCAGCCUCGGCUAACUCCGUGCCAGCAGCCGCGGUAAUACGGAGGAGGCAAGCGUUAUCCGGAAUGAUUGGGCGUAAAGCGUCCGCAGGUGGCGAUGCAAGUCUGCUGUCAAAACCCAGGGCUCAACUCUGGUCAGGCAGUGGAAACUACAAAGCUAGAGUCUGGUAGGGGCAAAGGGAAUUCCCGGUGUAGCGGUGAAAUGCGUAGAGAUCGGGAAGAACAUCGGUGGCGAAAGCGCUUUGCUAGACCAGAACUGACACUCAGGGACGAAAGCUAGGGGAGCG